UUUGGCUACACAACAUGUACGUGUGCAGACCGCCAGCAAUGAAGUUCUUCUUUCUCCUUGCCUGUUUCUUCAUUCCGUUCGCAAGUUCGUGUAAGUACCGUCAGUGUAUUCCCUCCGGUCAUCCAAUGAGUGUCCCACCCCCACACAAAGCGGAUUGGAUGAGUGUUCCAAACCUCGGAAACCUUGUUGCUAUCUAGGGACACGCUUUGACCACAACGGAUGCUUUUUGGGAUGUUAUUCCUCCUGCCUCACUGACGUAGACCCUGCUACCUGUAACUCUUGCGCUGACCCAAAUAUCAGGAAUUGUCUCGUGAAGCCCCCCGGAUGUCAAAUAAUGACCCACGACUUCAUGGGGUUUAAUUCCGUCCACGGGUGCUUCCAAGAAUGCUCUGUAACAUGUUAAUGGCCAAAUAAAGAAAGGAAUC
rnacentral:misc_RNA from 1 species